rnacentral:rRNA from 1 species
UACGUAGGGUGCAAGCGUUGUCCGGAAUUAUUGGGCGUAAAGAGCUCGUAGGCGGUUUGUCGCGUCUGCUGUGAAAACCCGAGGCUCAACCUCGGGCCUGCAGUGGGUACGGGCAGACUAGAGUGCGGUAGGGGAGAUUGGAAUUCCUGGUGUAGCGGUGGAAUGUGCAGAUAUCAGGAGGAACACCAAUGGCGAAGGCAGAUCUCUGGGCCGUAACUGACGCUGAGGAGCGAAAGCAUGGGGAGCGAACAGG